CUAAAAAUUUUACUUAUCUAAAAAGCUAAAAAACAAAUGUUGCUCUGAUUUAUAUAAGCAUCCCAGACUAAGGGAAAACACAGGACUGCAGAUCUGUUGAGAUGCCCCUUUAGUGGGGAGCCCUCAAACACAUUCAAAACUCAAUGAAAUUUUAAUCUCAUUACAAUUAAAUGCUAAAUUCCUCCAACAUCAAUAAAAUCAAGAUUUCUUCUGAUAAAGAACAUUGUUAUAAGAAUAAGUGAACACAACUGGCAAUGAACAGAGUUAAAGAAUAAAUUUUAAUUUCCAUAUAAGAAAAGUGAGGUUCUGAAGUUGUUCCCAGCUGGAGCAACAGGAGCAAAAGAUUUAAUGUGUCCAAAAUUAACAUGUUGGAUUAUAAACCUGUAAAUUCAAGAGCACAGUCCCCAGCACAGCUGCCAUAGACUGGCAGAAACAUUACACUUAUUACACAGAAACAGAAAGGGAUGAUGAUGUUUACCUUCUCCCUAGAGCUACCCUUUUCCCGAAGAAGAGCAGCCCAGUUUUCAUGUGCACCACGAAGAGCUGCAUUGCAGUGUGCCUGUGAUUUAGGAAUCACCAAGAGCCUUCAAUGAUGCUCUGAUUCUGUCACAUGGAGCAGCUGUUCCCACUCUGCAACCUCAAACUACAACAGGGGUUAUUUACUGACCAGCUGGUGAGCACUGGAUCUUUAGUUUCUUAGGCAAGCUGAAAUGGGAAAAAUGCAAAACUAGUGCCAUUACAUCUGGGGAAUCGAUUUAGAAAGAUAAAACCAACCUGUCCUUGUUGAUAAGUGUUUGCUUCUCGACACUAAAUGCAUCUCUCAAUAUUAAACUUCAAAAGGUCUGAUGUAAGAGAACCCAAAUAGUUCAGAGCCUCUUUAAAAUUACCACAGCACUCAGUAAAGAUAAGGACAAGGAGAAUUAGGGCUCUUCUUAUGUUCCUGUACUGCAUCAUCCCUUCCUCUGCCCUGAAAAAUACAAUGACAACACAUCUUUUGAUGUUUUGAAUUCUUCACGGCUUUGUAUACCAAGAUAACACCAGAGCACCUUAUUUAAAAUUUUGAUUAAUCAUAAAAGCCAAGAGAUUGUUAUAAGAAAUAAAAAAGACAAGUCAUAAACCAGUAAAAGCUUUAAAUUUUCACCAGCAGUUUCAAACUCUGAAUUAACACAGAGAUAACUGUGAAAUGAUUGUGUUUUCAUCUCCUGCCUUUAAAUCACAGUAAUAAUUCAUACAAGAAUUAUUCCUGGACUUAUUUAUGUUAAGAGAAGCAAAACAUCUGGUUAUUGUAACCAGAUGCAAACUGCAGCUAAAAGCAGGGAGAUGUAACUGGGUGCUCAGUCACAUCACUGAACUGCUGAGACACAGGAGAAAAGGCACAGAGAAGCAACAGAACAGCUUCUACUGCUGAGAUCAGAAGCAACUUAACAAUGCUGCAUGAAAGCAUACUGAGAUAUUUUUCUCCAAUUACUUACCUGGUACCAGUAGAGUAGAACUUAUCUUACAUUUCUCAAAAAAAUUACUCCUAUAACACUUAAAAAAAAAAAAAAAAGAAAAAGGAUAAAGUUGACAGAAACAGAGUAAUCCAAGACCAUUCACACACUGGAUUUACCUAAAAUUUGGAGAAAAGGCAAGUCUAUCUUACUAGUGUUUCCUACUGUUUAGUGAGUUUACAAAUGUAAUUUUUGUCACAAUAAUCUAGUUCUUCAAUGGGUUGCAAGAAUAAACUGUCCUGAUUCCUUUCUGUGAGUCAUUAUUGACAAUCUGCUCAAUCUAUUGUCUCUCUGAAAGAUAAACAAAAUGUGACCAUGACAGGAGCAACCGCUGGGAGAUAGAAAUGCACUUGUACUCAGCACCCAUGCAAGCAGCUCACAGACCACUUUUCAGACAAAACUGCCAUGGAAUUUCUCUGAGCUGCCAUCUUCACCACACUUUAUAGCUAAUGAUUUCUGUAGGUCUGACAAAUCUUUUAACUAUGCUAUUGUUUAUGGCUACUGAUUAAAAAAAACAAGGAAAAAGGUUAGUAAUCUGAAGUAUAUAAAUGAUCCCACUAGCACAGCUGUAAAUUCUGAAAUAUAUGUUGAGUGUCAGAAAUUAAAGUACAGAUGCCACAUUAAAUGAUUUUCUGACCUUUAGAAACUUGAAAAUAGGACAUGUUUUCUUAUAAAAACUCACUUUUCAGUCAACACCCCUAUAAAACCCCAGUUCUUUUUAUGUCCCCAAAUUGUCUUUUCAUUUGAUCUUAAUACAUUCUAAACAUAGGCCACACAGUAAACUGAUUUAUCUUUCAUCACUCAGCUUUUACCAGCACAGUAUCCAGUAAUCCACUUCUCCUAGGGCUUACGCCCACAUUCCAAACUAUAAAGCCAAAGGAAAGAGAUCUUAAUUGUUUUUAAAGCUCUCACUCUGGAAUCUCAGCCAGAGCCAGCAGGAAGGUCUCGCUGCUCUCCAGCCACAUCAGCGUUGGACACUGGGUGAGAUGCAGUGCACUGAGUGCUGGGGACACUCAGGGUCACACACAGACUCCUCCUGCCUCAGAGCACCAAUACAUCUGUUUCCACUGGACUGACAGAGCCAGCACUCACUGUCACAGCACAGACCAGCCCAGCAGCUGCAGCCAGGACCUUUGGCUGCCAAGUGUCCUUCCCUAAAUCCAUCUUGUGGGCCAAAGGCAAAGGACGUGUUGCAAUGGCCAGCACUAUCAGACUUGCAUCAAUGGUCAUUGGCCUUUUUCUCCCCCUCCUAUUGGUGAAGGCACAUUCAUUUACCUGGUGUCUUCCUUUACAAUCAGUGCUCACAGUGGGAUAAAGCAGGAAACACUUCCUGAACAUCCAGCUUCUUCCUUGCAGGGCUCAGACAUGUUUGUAAUAGAUGCUCACUCCUUUUUCAAGACAAUUAUUCCAAAAGAGCUGCAGUUCUCACACAUCUGUUGCCCUCUGGUAGAAAUGCUAAGUUUCUAUGACAUUUAACAGAAAUAUCAUGCAGGUACCUGAAUUAUUCCUGUCUUUCCAUUCAUUUGGAGUUACACUAAAACAGCUACAGAUGUUGCAAACAAGACAAACACUGAUUUCACUGAAUUGAGUACUUCAGUCAUGGGACGGCUUAAAUGAAAGUACAUGGACUAAACAGGAAAAGUACCAAAAAGAGAAAAAAAAAAGAAAAAGCUUAUCUUAUAGCAUGUCAUGUUCUCCAAUUUCUUUAGGUUCAGGCCUUCAUGAUCCUUAUUUUCACUUAUUUCUCAUUUUGCAAUAAAGGCAUUUUUACAAGUUGUAAAAAUCUUUCAGAGCAUGUCCAACAGUAGAAACCAAUGUGCAUGGCAAAUAAAAUUUGGAUGAAAGCAGUGAGACCUCAGAAGUUUGAAUCCCCAAGAGUGUCAGGAUCAUCAUCACACCUUAUGUUUUCACAAGGUGAAGGACACAUCAAUCCAGAUGCAAUCCAAAGACUGAUGUAAUAUAUGUUAAUUCAACUCAGCUUACUAACAAUCCUCACCAAACAAUCUCUGAGGAGGCAUUCCUGAAAGGUGUUUCUGUACAGUGAGACUUUGUCACACAUUAUUAAACACCACUAAAAAUGGUCUCCUGUGAUGCACACAAAAACUUCUGAGCCAAAAGGCAAAAUUUCAUAUUAAGGGUGCUUCUGUUACAUUUAGGAAAAUGAGCAAACAUUAAACAUUGUGCAAAAGGAAAAGACUUUAUUUAACACAAUAUAUUAUUUGGAAGUUUCGAGCACUGAAGACCAGAAAAACAAACUGUAUUUUGCCUUUCCAAAUACACCUAUAUUCAGCAUGGAAGCCAUUGAUUUUUAAGAUACACCAAAAAUGUCUUUUAGCAUCUAGUUACUGCUGAUUGCCUUUUCAGCUGCCAAUCCUUGUUUGGGUUUCGAGUAAUCCCAGGGUCUCCUGUUCUCUGUGUAUC